rnacentral:rRNA from 1 species
CAUGCUGGAGGUAUCAGAAGUGCGAAUGCUGACAUGAGUAACGAUAAAGGGAGUGAAAAACUCCCUCGCCGGAAGACCAAGGGAUCCUGUCCAACGUUAAUCGGGGCAGGGUAAGUCGACUCCUAAGGCGAGGCCGAAAGGCGUAGUCGAUGGGAAACGGGGUAAUAUUCCCGUACUUCUUACAAUUGCGAUGGGGGGAGGGAGAAGGCUAGGUGGGCCUGGCGACGGUUGUCCAGGUUCAAGUAUGUAGGCGGGUGGUUUAGGUAAAUCCGGACCGCUACUAACGCUGAGAUACGAUGUCGAGCUACUACGGUAGUGAAGUCAUUGAUGCCAUGCUUCCAGGAAAAGCCUCUAAGCUUCAGAUUGUAAGGACUCGUACCCCAAACCGACACAGGUGGUCGGGUAGAGAAUACCAAGGCGCUUGAGAGAACUCGGGUGAAGGAACUAGGCAAAAUGGUACCGUAACUUCGGGCGAAGGUACGCUCUUAUCAGUGAAGUCCCUUGCGGAUGGAGCAGACGAGAGUCGCAGAUACCAGGUGGCUGCAACUGUUUAUUAAAAACACAGCACGGUGCAAAAUCGUAAGAUGACGUAUACGGUGUGACGCCUGCCCGGUGCCGGAAGGUUAAUUGAUGGGGUUAGACUUCGGUCGAAGCUCUUGAUCGAAGCCCCGGUAAACGGCGGCCGUAACUAUAACGGUCCUAAGGUAGCGAAAUUCCUUGUCGGGUAAGUUCCGACCUGCACGAAUGGCGUAAUGAUGGCCACGCUGUCUCCACCCGAGACUCCGUGAAAUUGAAAUCGCUGUUAAGAUGCAGUGUACCCGCGGCUAGACGGAAAGACCCCGUGAACCUUUACUACAGCUUGGCACUGAACAUUGAACCUACAUGUGUAGGAUAGGUGGGAGACUAUGAAAUUGCGUCGCUAGAUGUGAUGGAGUCGUCCUUGAAAUACCACCCUUGUAGUUUUGAUGUUCUAACGAUGGCCCCUGAAUCGGGAGUUACGGACAGUGCCUGGUGGGUAGUUUGACUGGGGCGGUCUCCUCCCAAAGAGUAACGGAGGAGCACGAAGGUGGGCUAAACACGGUUGGACAUCGUGUUGUUAGUGCAAUGGCAUAAGCCCGCUUGACUGCGAGAAUGACAAUUCGAGCAGGUGCGAAAGCAGGUCAUAGUGAUCCGGUGGUUCUGAAUGGAAGGGCCAUCGCUCAACGGAUAAAAGGUACUCCGGGGAUAACAGGCUGAUACCGCCCAAGAGUUCAUAUCGACGGCGGUGUUUGGCACCUCGAUGUCGGCUCAUCACAUCCUGGGGCUGAAGUCGGUCCCAAGGGUAUGGCUG